rnacentral:misc_RNA from 1 species
AUAUUCUUUUGGAGUAAUAAAUACAUCUUCAACUUAGAAACUAGAUACAUGCUACCAACAUUCAGCUUUACUAUGAAAAGCAUAAUAAUAAGUUAGCCAUCUUCUGUGUUUAGAAGAGAAUAAAAACGAAAGCAACAAUAAGUCAUAAGUAAAUAACACCGUCGCAAAAUAAUUCUCGAGCAACUUGUCUUACAUACAAGAUACGUAUAAAAGGAAAUAAAAAUGAAUUUGGAAUUAUUAGAAUCGUUCGGUCAGAAUUACCCAGAGGAGUUUGAUGGUACAUUAGAUUGCAUAUCGUUAGCAGUUACUUGUACAUUUAACAAAAGGGGAACUCUUCUUGCUGUUGGGUGUAAUGAUGGUAGAAUUGUUAUUUGGGAUUUUUUAACGCGAGGUGUUGCAAAAAUUAUUAGUGCACAUGUGCAUCCAGUGUGCUCAUUGAGCUGGUCCAGAAAUGGACAUAAGUUACUAAGUGCCUCUACAGAUAAUAAUGUUUGCAUAUGGGAUGUUUUAUCUGGAGAGUGUGAUCAAAAAUAUAGAUUUCCUUCUCCCAUAUUGAAAGUACAAUUUCAUCCAAGAAAUCUUAACAAAUUUUUAGUAUGUCCCAUGAGACAUGCAGCAGUAAUGGUUGAUGUUGAAGGCACCCAUAGAGUUAUACCUCUUGACGAUGAUAGCGAUUUAAAUAUAGUUGCAUCUUUUGAUCGCCGUGGAGAUUAUGUAUAUACUGGAAAUGCACGUGGUAGGAUUCUAGUUCUUGAUGCAGAAUCCUUAACUGUGAAAGCUUCUUAUAAAAUAUCACAAGGUACAGCUAGUAAUACAGCUGUGAAAAGUAUUGAGUUUGCCAGACGUGGUUCCUGCUUUUUAGUAAAUACAUCAGAUAGAGUUAUUCGUGUAUAUGAUAGUACUGAAGUACUUGCUUGUGGAAAAGAUGGUGAACCUGAGCCAAUACAAAAGCUACAAGAUCUUGUUAACAAAACUAUGUGGAAAAAAUGUUGUUUUUCUGGAGAUGGAGAAUAUGUAUGUGCUGGAUCUGCAAGACAACAUGCUUUAUAUGUAUGGGAAAAGAGUAUUGGAAAUUUAGUUAAAAUCUUACAUGGAACUAAAGGAGAAUUAUUACUUGAUGUUGUUUGGCAUCCAGUAAGACCAAUAAUUGCUUCAAUUUCGUCCGGUGUUGUUUCUAUUUGGGCUCAAAAUCAAGUUGAAAACUGGUCUGCAUUUGCACCAGACUUUAAAGAAUUGGAUGAAAAUGUUGAAUAUGAAGAAAGAGAAAGCGAAUUUGAUUUAAGUGAUGAAGAUAAGUCAGUGGUACAAGGUGAAGAAGCUCAGGAUGAAGAGAUAGAAGUAGAUGUUGCUUCUAUUGAUAGAGUGGCUGCAUUCUGUAGCUCUGAUGAAGAAAUGGAAGAUAUUGGUUCACUGCAGUUUUUACCAAUAUCACCAGAUGUAGAAGAUUCAGAAGAUAAUCAAACAACACCACAUGAACCACCUAUGAAGAAACAUCGUUCUCAUGAUAUUCACUUACAAGGUGCACCAGUAGAUGAAACUCAUCCAUUAUUAAAUAAAGGAAAAGAUAAACCUACAACAAAAAAAGGAAGGCCCCGGUUGGAACAUAGAAAAGGAAAAUAAUUGGAAUCAUAUUUAUAAAAUAUGUCAUAAAAUGCUUUAAUACUUCCUAUGGAAUGUUUCUUAUAUAUAUUGUUCAGUCUUACAUGUUUUUGUAUCGAAAACUUGUAUUAAGAACACAAAGUUAUUAUGUAUAUUAGAAUAAACAAAUUUUAUAUGUGUAUAUUUAAUAAAUGAACAAGACCUAGCACAUAUUGAUUAUAUAGCUAUAUUGUUCUCGGAUAUUCCAAAAUAAAAUGCACCUAACCUAUACAUAUUUUGCUACUGAAUGGCUUUAAACAAAAUUUAACUAAUCGAUAAAUGGUUUAUCUUAUCUUAUGCAGUGAACGUGCAAUAAAAAGUGCGUAGUGUCCAGAUUGACUUACAGCUACGAGG